AGUGAACGCUGGCGGCAUGCCUAACACAUGCAAGUCGAACGGCAGCACAGUAAGAGCUUGCUCUUACGGGUGGCGAGUGGCGGACGGGUGAGGAAUACAUCGGAAUCUACUUUGUCGUGGGGGAUAACGUAGGGAAACUUACGCUAAUACCGCAUACGACCUACGGGUGAAAGCAGGGGAUCUUCGGACCUUUCGCGAUUGUAUGAGCCGAUGUCGGAUUAGCUAGUUGGCGGGGUAAAGGCCCACCAAGGCGACGAUCCGUAGCUGGUCUGAGAGGAUGAUCAGCCACACUGGAACUGAGACACGGUCCAGACUCCUACGGGAGGCAGCAGUGGGGAAUCUUGGGCAAUGGGCGAAAGCCUGAUCCAGCAAUACCGCGUGGGUGAAGAAGGCCUUCGGGUUGUAAAGCCCUGUUGUUGGGAAAGAAAAGCAGCAGGUUAAUACCCCGCUGUUCUGACGGUACCCAAAGAAUAAGCACCGGCUAACUUCGUG
rnacentral:rRNA from 1 species